rnacentral:tRNA from 1 species
GCCCAGGUGGCGGAAUUGGCAGACGCGAUAGACUCAAAAUCUGUUUCCCUUUGGGAGUGUGGGUUCGAUUCCCACCCUGGGCACCA